UUCGGGUUUAGUGGCGCACGGGUGCGUAACGCGUGGGAAUCUACCCUUGGGUUCGGAAUAACAGUUAGAAAUGACUGCUAAUACCGGAUGAUGACGUAAGUCCAAAGAUUUAUCGCCCAGGGAUGAGCCCGCGUAGGAUUAGCUAGUUGGUGUGGUAAAGGCGCACCAAGGCGACGAUCCUUAGCUGGUCUGAGAGGAUGAUCAGCCACACUGGGACUGAGACACGGCCCAGACUCCUACGGGAGGCAGCAGUGGGGAAUAUUGGACAAUGGGCGAAAGCCUGAUCCAGCAAUGCCGCGUGAGUGAUGAAGGCCUUAGGGUUGUAAAGCUCUUUUACCCGGGAUGAUAAUGACAGUACCGGGAGAAUAAGCUCCGGCUAACUCCGUGCCAGCAGCCGCGGUAAUACGGAGGGAGCUAGCGUUAUUCGGAAUUACUGGGCGUAAAGCGCACGUAGGCGGCUUUGUAAGUAAGAGGUGAAAGCCUGGAGCUCAACUCCAGAAUUGCCUUUUAGACUGCAUCGCUUGAAUCAUGGAGAGGUGAGUGGAAUUCCGAGUGUAGAGGUGAAAUUCGUAGAUAUUCGGAAGAACACCAGUGGCGAAGGCGGCUCACUGGACAUGUAUUGACGCUGAG
rnacentral:rRNA from 1 species